UCCGGAGUAGCUCAAUGGGUAGAGCGGGUGGCUGUUAACCACUAGGCUGGGGGUUCGAGUCCCUCCUCCGGAGCAA
rnacentral:tRNA from 1 species